GCCUGCCCAGUGACUACGGGUUCAACGGCCGCGGUAUUUUGACCGUGCAAAGGUAGCGCAAUCACUUGUCUUUUAAAUAGAGACCUGUAUGAAUGGCCAAACGAGGGCUUAACUGUCUCCCUCUUCCAGUCAGUGAAAUUGAUCUAUCCGUGCAGAAGCGGGUAUAAUCAUACAAGACGAGAAGACCCUUUGGAGCUUAAGGUCAAGAUUUAAAUCACACCAAACCAACCAAUAAAAGUAACAAAUAUAAUGAUAAAUAAACCUCUCUUCGGUUGGGGCGACCACGGAGUAAAAAAUAACCUCCAAGCGGACGGGUACAACCCUAAAACCAAGAGAAACGUCUCUAAGCCUCAGANCUUCUGACCAUAAAAGAUCCGGCCUAAAACCGAUUAACGAACCAAGUUACCCUAGGGAUAACAGCGCAAUCCUCUUUAAGAGUCCAUAUCGACAAGAGGGUUUACGACCUCGAUGUUGGAUCAGGACAUCCUAAUGGUGCAGCCGCUAUUAAGGG
rnacentral:rRNA from 1 species